GUGCACCAGUCGCGAAAACUUCACACUGUGCGAAAGCACGAUGAGGGAAUCCCAAGUGCUUGCACGUAAGUGUAAGCUGUUUCUCUGUCUAAAACGCAGAGAGAGUAAGGGCUGGGUAAGACGGGUGCCAGCCGCCGCGGUAAUACCUGCAGCUCAAGUGGUGACCGUUAUUAUUGGGGCCUAAAACGUCCGUAGCCGGUUUAAUAAAUGCCUGGGUAAAUUGUGUAGCUUAACUAUACGAAUUCCGGGUAGACUGUUAAACUUGAGACCGGGAGAAGUUAGAGGUACUCCUGGGGUAGAGGUGAAAUUCUGUAAUCCUAGGGGGACCACCAGUGGCGAAGGCGUCUAACUAGGACGGGUCUGACGGUGAGGGACGAAGCCCUGGGGCGCAAACGGGAUUAGAUACCCGU
rnacentral:rRNA from 1 species